GAUGAACGCUGGCGGCGUGCCUAAUACAUGCAAGUAGAACGCUGAAGGAGGAGCUUGCUCUUCUGGAUGAGUUGCGAACGGGUGAGUAACGCGUAGGUAACCUGCCUGGUAGCGGGGGAUAACUAUUGGAAACGAUAGCUAAUACCGCAUGAUAACAGUUAUUGCAUGAUAACUGUUUAAAAGGGGCAACUGCUCCACUACCAGAUGGACCUGCGUUGUAUUAGCUAGUUGGUGAGGUAACGGCUCACCAAGGCGACGAUACAUAGCCGACCUGAGAGGGGGAUCGGCCACACUGGGACUGAGACACGGCCCAGACUCCUACGGGAGGCAGCAGUAGGGAAUCUUCGGCAAUGGACGGAAGUCUGACCGAGCAACGCCGCGUGAGUGAAGAAGGUUUUCGGAUCGUAAAGCUCUGUUGUAAGAGAAGAACGAGUGUGAGAGUGGAAAGUUCACAAUGUGACGGUAUCUGACCAGAAAGGGACGGCUAACUACGUG
rnacentral:rRNA from 1 species